AUAUAUAUAUAUAGGUUAGUGCAUUCAAAAAUAAAUAGAAGAUCCUUUUUAUUUAAUGAAAAACUCAUUUUGUGUUGGUGGGAUAAAGGACCAAGAGAAAUGUAGUCAGCUGCUUUUUAACUUUUAUCAAAUUAGGCAACUAUAUAUUAGAAGAAAUAGCUGAAAUUAUUUCACUUACAGUUUUACUCAAUUUACUCAUCUUCUGUGCAUUCACAUUAUAUUAAAACAUAUCUUUACCAACCUAUUUGUGGAUUUUACACUCACACCUUAGAGUGAAAAGGGCAGGGAUGGUCAUUUGAGACUUUCACAAUAUGGGUAUCUUCUUGAGUUCCCUCUAAAAUUAAAGAAUAAGAACAGAUCACUCAACGCACUUAAACAGCGUUAAAUAUUUAAGUGGCAGUUGAAUUUAUUUUCAUAAUUGUUUAUUAACUUUUGUAUAAUCUUCAUUACUUUUUGAGAGAAAAAAAUGUAUUUAUCAAAUAUGUGUAAUCAUUAUCAUGCCAAAAUCUGAAUGCUGUAAAAUUUUUGUAUAUUGUUAAAAUUGUAAUUCUAAAAAAAAAAUUGUAAUUCUAAAUUGUAUUUUUUAAAUAAUUCUUUCUGAUGUUGUUUUUAUGUCACCCAUGAUGAAAACUGGACUUUGAUAUCUAUACAUAUGAACUAUUCCACUGAAAAAUUUUUAAUAGUCUUUUUUCUUUUUUGGUGCCUAUAAUUGGUCAUUUCUGCUGGCCUUUCUCCAAUGAACUCUGAAAUCUUUCUAUAUGUGCUAUCAAUAAGAGAAGUACCCUGGAACAUUAGAAAAAUCCAGCAAGAGACUUGCUUUCAUCAAGCCCUUUACCAGACUUUGAGCAAAGGUACUGAAGGCAUUGAAAAAAGUCAUUGACUUUCAAGAUCAUCUCUUCUUUUUCUCAAGAAGAAAGCAAUGGAAAAAUAAAUUAUCUUCAUUCAAUGAACCCCCAAUUUGGGGCUUGGGGGAGCUUAGAGACAUUGUGAAAUCAAAUCUUGUGUUAUUUUUCACCUGGCUCGCUCUUUUUGAGAAGGUUAAUGGGCUAUUUGGCUGGUGAGACACGAUCCCCUCCUAAGAAAAUGUAGGUGCUCAGACAGGUAACCUCUGCUGCUACUGUUUUUAUUUGUUUGUUUGUUUAAUUUUAUUUAAAUUUUGUUUUAUUGUACUAGGAUUUUUUAAAAUGUAAUAUAUUGCAGGAUUUAUAACCAGGUUCACUGCUUUCUUUUUUCUUUCUUAAAAAAAGUUUCAUUUAACAUACAAUUUAGGCACCUUUGAAGCUUGGAUUUUGGAAUGUUUCAGUAGUGGACAGAAAUCUGCUGUUGGAAUCUUCUAGUCUUUCAGGUUUAAUUUGAAAUGUUUUUAGUUUUGUUUUGGAUUUUUGUGUGCUAUUUUAUUUCCUUUAUACCAGUACCAUUUUGCCAUGCUGUUUUGGGGUGGCUGCCUAACUCUAGUGAAAAAUUUUUCUAUAUUAAUGAAAAUUUGGCUUUUAAAAUUCCUUAAUGUUUUACAUUUAAAAAAUAUUUUUAAAGAAAUAUUCUAACUGUUUGCACUGUUACUGUUCUUUGCCAGCCUUUUCAGGAGCCAAAAAAAACCAAAUACAAACAAACAAAAAUAUACCCAGAGAAAAAACUUUCCUUCUUCCCCCUUCCUGAUGAUGAGUGAGAAGUAUUGAGAACUUUCGGGGUCAGUGCCCUUCUAAACUCCCCUUCCCCCAAUAAUGCAGCUGUGUAAUGAAUGCUAAAUGCAGCGGUUUGGAUUCAGUCACAGCCCCAGCCGGCUGGCAGGUAAUUUGACUCUCCUUUCUUUCCACCACAAGGCUAACUUUACUUUCUUUUAUAAAAAAUUUCCUUUCUUUGUGCACUUUAAAGGCAACCACGAGUUUGUCAUAACUCACUUGUUAAAAAACGCAUUAACAUGUCAAAUAAUUUGAUUGAAGAAGAGCUUUUGGGGAUAAAGUUUGAGUUGAUUGGGAUGAACUCAGGACUUCUGUGGGAAUUUUGUUUAGGCAUUUCGAUAACUCCACUCUUUGCAUAUAUGUCUAUAAUGAAAUAAUUCAGAGUGUGACUUUUUUGGCUUUGUUUUUGUUUUGGGUUUGUUUGUUUCUUCCAUUGUGCUACUCUGGCUUAAGCUUUUUCAGGGGUUGGUGUUCCGAAUACAAAGUGAGCUCACAGUAUAAAGACAUCAAUUAGGAGUUGACAGGUAUGGAAAACUAGUUUUGAAAAGGUAAAAGUAAGCUCUAGGUUCUAUGUAUGGAAAAACCCCACCAUAGCACUCAGUUGGCCUUAGUGCUUCUCCUUUUGUAACAUGGUUAUGAAAGCGAAAGGUAGCAGUGACAUGUAGAUUAAAUUAGGAGCAGUAUGACAGCAGAACCAAUCAUUUCAGCGUUUCUGAGACACUGUGUCAAAAAAAACAUGAACACUUUGAGGUUAUCAUACAAUUGUGGCUUAAACACUCCGAAAUUACAGUUUGAAGCAGAUAGGGAAGUAUUUCUGAAGCACAAUGUGGUUGAACAGACUAACCAAGAGCAUGCCAAUAGUUAGGGGCAGGAACAGGAAUACAGCUUGCUCAUUUUGAUAGCCUUCUGUCCCAGUCCACUUGCCCUUUUCUGCUUUCUGCUGCCCUCAACCAUCACAGGUAAAGCUCCUAUAUCAUUUUGGGCAAUAAUCCUCUUUCUAGUAGAUAAGAUUUCAUUGAAAGUAGCCAGGUCCCUUUCCAGCAUGUGCUUCUGCAUAAUUUUAUCCUGUGACUUUAAAUGUCCUAUCCAAAGUGGCUCGACAUCACUAGAUGACUAGUGACUAGGAAAUCCUGGCCAUAGGUGCUCUUUUUGCAGUGGAGGAGGGCAUGUAAUAGGUCAUUAGCCCGUUCUGUGCGUCAGUUGACUCAUAAAAGAUAGGGACAGUCUCCUGAACACCUUUAGUCACAAGUAAUUCUCUGUUGAACUGAAAUAUACCACUAAAGGGAUCCCAGCUAAACUCCUGCAAGAAUUGCUGGUGUAUACUCAAGCUUGCCUAGGAGACCUUCGUGCCCUCCUAAUAGAAUGGCCACCAUUAGUGUGUGUAGCACAUGUGACCGCCCAGGGCGCGGGGGUUCUAACAACCUCCAUUCUGCCCACACUGAAAUACUGCUGGUUUGCAAAGAAUCAUCUCACUUUUACAUUUUACCGUAUUCACAUUUACUAGGUGAACCUUAUUUAUGUAGUAUGUGUACCUGGCUGCUACUGUGGGGUUUGGGAACGUGAGGGGUGGGGUGAACUGUUGUUGUUUUGGGUUUCAGUCAGACAGACUUCCCUGUGCCCCAGUUCCCAGAAGCACAGCAGGCCUGUAGGAGCACCUGUGGGAACGGCGCAGUCCUGACAUCACCACCUUCUCCUGCUCAGGCGCAUCCCAUACACAGAGGUCAAAAGGGUGGGGUUUGAGAUUGGGGAAGGAAUGAGAAAGUAGAAACAAUAUUGCAGUGCCACUGUUGACUAGCCUUUGGUGUUUAUCUCAGUGUUUGUUUUAUUUCUUGAUAUUUUUUAAAGUUGGCGAAAUUACGCAUUUAUUUUGGGGUGAAGGUAGUGGGAGGGUGGAACAAAAACAGGUCAUGACUGUUCUCAUUAGCUCAUUACUAGAUAUACUAUUCCUUACUAGCUAAUGUACAAUAAAAUUUGAAAUGUGAACUCCAGUGACAAAAAAGAAUGGGAAUAUAAAUAAAUGAAUCUUAGAUUUUAACAAGCAGAGAACACUUAAUGCUGUGCUAAUGCCCAGUUCUCCUACAACUGCUACAAUAUUUGUCAUUCUGUCUUUUGUUCCCCUGAUUUUUCUAUGUAUGUAUAUACAGUCUGAGGAAAUAUGCUUUAAUGAUUAGCCCUUUUUAAAGGACUUAAUGAAUUUAUUUUCUUGCAAAGAAAAAAAUCUAGUGCUUAUGUGGGCAUACAAAUGCUACCCUAUUUUAAAUAUAGGUGGCGUAUGUGUUCGUGCUUUAAUGUAUUCAGAGCCAUUGGGCAAUAAGCAGUCCAGAACAUUGAAAACUCAAACAGCAGAGAAAUAAACUGGUAGGUGGCAGCAGAGGAAGGAGGAAUUCUUCAGAUUGAUGGCUACUGACAAUACCAAGUGAAGCAAGGGGGACAAAGAAGUGGAAAAAUAAGACUGAAAAUUACUGGAUUUUGACUUUAAGUGGUUUUCUUGAAGUAACCAGUGAUCCUUGCUUACCUCAGUGACAGAAUGGAUGAAGAUGGGUCUGACUCUGUUUUCUCAAGUGGAAAAUAGAAAUAUACAACAAGAAAGCAGUCGCUUUAACCUCUUUCUAAAAUAAAAACGCCAUGAACUGGCAGUGAAAUAGCAUGGAGCAUGACUUGUCCUUUUGGCAGCUGUUUGUACCCACUCUGUCCUGUAUGAAUUUUCUGAGGUCUGGAUAUCUAGACUUGGUGUCUAGCUCCAUGUGUCUUUUUUCUUUUUUCCUUUUCCACUCCUCACCUUUUGCAGGUUGGAACUCUUGGUUCCUUUGGUUCUUGCUCUCUGCCUGAUCUCUCUGUAAUAUCUUCAGGAAGGAUUGAUCCUUUGGCACAUGAGCAGGCACUAAAAUAUGUACUAGAUGGAGUUCUCUCUGUCCUUUCACACUUUGUGCUGAAUAACUAUUGUUGUAUUUUUUAAUCUCAAGAAUACUUCUGACAAGGCAUGUACUUUUUCUACUUUCUGUACUACAUUCUAUAGUCGGAUAUUCAUACUGUAGUCCUGUCACUUAAUGGUUACAUGGUCCUUGGAAAAGUCACUCUUCAAAACAGAUUAUUUGUUAAAAAAUGAAAAUGAAAUAACUGUACCUAGCUUUAUUAGCCUCAUGUACUAUAAUAUAUGUAUAGUGCUUAGCACAUAGUUGAGUAUUUAAUAAAUAUUGUCCAUUCUGUAAACAUUGGUUAUUGAAACCUUAUUCAAAGGUAGUGAAUCUUUAAAUUUUUUAACCCUAAGUCUAUUAAGCUUUUCUUUCUUGGUUGUCUUUCAGAUUUUCUAUUUAAACUUCUUUCACAAGCUCUUCAUGUUGGAUGGAACAUUGUAUAUGUGGAGUUGUGGCACUUUUAGUAAUCUAGACUGAUAAAUUCUUAUCUCCAUAUUUUGUUGGCUGUGGAAUUUAAUGCAAGAAAAAAAUCUCACUUUUUCCUCCACACUUGCCUGUCAACUACUCAUCACACAAAAAAAUUUGUGUUUUGCUCUUCUACUGGAAAAAUCUGUCUUGGCUUAAGGAAUAUGCAUGUAAUAUACAGUAAGGAAUAAUUUUAGGAUAGUAUGACUUCAAGAUUCAUAACAUGAUCUUGUUUCAGCCAGAGUGAUUCAAGAUGAUUUAAAAAUGUAUUAAGAGAAAAUUUGGUUUAGAAAACUAAGUUGAGAAAAUUUGGGUGAAAAGAAGAUAGAA
ensembl:lncRNA